rnacentral:lncRNA from 1 species
AAGAAAAUGCUUUCAAAACAAAUAUAUGACUUAUCCAAUAAUUUGACGCAAUACGCAUACAUCGAAAUAAUCAUCCCAAACGGGACAACAGGGACCAACUUGCUAUAUUUUGGUCAUCACAACAAAGUCUUGAUCAAUUUUCGAUCACCAUAAUAUAUAAAACGAGGUCCCCUUUAUGCAAUAAAGAAAUAAAAUAAAAUCAAAUCAUAGACAAAAGUCAAAACAGUAGCAAAUGAGGCCAUGCUUAUGGUAAAUCAUAUAUAAAGAAAUGACCCAACUAAAUGAAGUUCUUACGUUAUUUUUUUUAAAAGAAGCACAAAAUCUGAAUUUCUAACGUUAAUCAAAUUGCAGAUAUUUACAAUCAUGCAAAAGCUAAUAUUAGUCAAUUAUAAACUAACUAAAGUAAAUAAGUAAUACUAAAAAGUAAAACCUAAAGGUUAAAUAACUAAAAGUAGAGAGGAGAGUUAACUAUUAAGUAGUGUUAAUUAUUGCGUAAAGUUAUUAUAUUUUUAGUCUAAUAUACUAUUAAUUAUAUUAAUAUUUUUUGUUUAAUAUAUUAUAUAUAUGUAUAACUAAAAAUUAAAAUAGUAAAUUAUUAUAUUCUUAAUGGGUUAUCGGUUAACCCAAUAACCCAAUAUUCAAAAACCAAUAACGAACCGAUAACCCAAUAAUUUUAUUUUGUAAAACCAUUAAAUAACCGUUAACCC